CGCGGCCUAUCAGCUUGUUGGUGAGGUAACGGCUCACCAAGGCAUCGACGGGUAGCUGGUCUGAGAGGACGAUCAGCCACACUGGGACUGAGACACGGCCCAGACUCCUACGGGAGGCAGCAGUAGGGAAUCUUGCGCAAUGGGCGAAAGCCUGACGCAGCAGCGCCGCGUGGGGGAUGAAUGCCUUCGGGUUGUAAACCCCUUUCAGCAGGGACGAAAAUGACGGUACCUGCAGAAGAAGCUCCGGCCAACUACGUGCCAGCAGCCGCGGUAAUACGUAGGGAGCGAGCGUUGUCCGGAAUUAUUGGGCGUAAAGAGCUCGUAGGCGGUUCAGUAAGACGGGUGUGAAAACUCAAGGCUCAACCUUGAGACGCCACUCGAUACUGCUGUGACUUGAGUCCGGUAGAGGAGUGUGGAAUUCCUGGUGUAGCGGUGAAAUGCGCAGAUAUCAGGAGGAACACCAGCGGCGAAGGCGGCACUCUGGGCCGGUACUGACGCUGAGGAGCGAAAGCAUGGGGAGCAAACAGGAUUAGAUACCCUGGUAGUCCAUGCCGUAAACGUUGGGCACUAGGUAUGGGAUCAUAUCAACGGAUUCCGUGCCGUAGCUAACGCAUUAAGUGCCCCGCCUGGGGAGUACGG
rnacentral:rRNA from 1 species